rnacentral:misc_RNA from 1 species
GAUCCCUGUGCCUGCAGCAGGAAAGAUGAGAAGUCCGACGUGUUGAGCGGAUGCUUGACGGUGCCGAGCACCUUGCCGCCCAUCUUGGUGACGACAGCGGAGGGGUCCUUCUCGAGAUCCUGUCCNNNNNNNNNNNNAACCAGGUAUCGAGUCCGGUCUUCACAGCCGCGAGGCCGGUGGAAUUCGCCUGCCCGAAGGUGUCGAAGACAUAAUGCACGGUGUAGGGGCCGCAGGCCUCGUUGGUCAGACGGACCGAUCCCGGGCCGUUGAACAUGAUGAUCUUGCCCCGCGCCUUGGCGAUCUCGUUGGCCGCCAGCGNNNNNNCAUCGACGAUCGCCUCGACGCCCUGAUUGUCGAACAUGUCGCGGGCAAUGCUCGAUGACAGAUCGGCCUUGUUGAGAUGAUCCGCUGCGAUGAUCUCGAUCUUGCGGCCCAGCACCUCGCCGCCGAAAUCCUCCGCGGCCAUUUUCGCCGC